GGUACUUUUCUUAUAUAGGGACUUUAACCGCGAGUAAAACUUCCAGGGGCUUUAACCAUCGGAAUUCUUCUGUCUCUGUGCUUUAACCGCAAGCGAUUCAAAGGGCCGUGCUCAUGCUCGCAAGCAUUCGCUCGCCGGUGCUCAUGGUUCUCUUCCCAAGUUCUAUCGAGUCUACAUAGCGUGUGCACCGCUCGUGGCUCUUUUGGUCACGUUCAAACCUUGACCAGCGCCUGCAGAUACGGUGCAGUUCCUUACGGUUGUGAGACAAACAGUCAACGUCUGGCUUGCAACCAUGCAACUUACUUUGACUAGACAAAAACAAUGGAAGCCAGCAGGCCUUGUGGUUCCGUGAAAGAGAAAGAGCUGCAUAGGAAUUAAAAAGAGACAGUCAACAAAACAGUCAACGUCUGGCUUGCAACCAUAUGUGACUUACCUUAACUAGACAAAAACAAUGUGAGCCAGCAGGCCUUGUGGUUCCCGUGAGAGUAAAAUACGUAUACGGUACGUAUACGUUUACCUGCUACAACUUGCACGCCACUUUUGUUUUGGCGGGCCCGUGCAUCUUUUGUGUGUCCAGGGCAGAUAUAUUUUCAAUAGUGUUAUGAUGAUUUUGUGCAAUUAAAAUUAAUCUGCAUAAUUACACGUAAAAUAAACAUCAGGGCUGCAACUUUACAGACUGCUGAGCAUCUUUUGAAGUGUGAAGCAGGUCAUGAAUUUUAAUUUUCUUACAUUCUUGUCACCCAUAUAUCGUUGUCAAGGUUUGUAUGCUGUUAUAAAUUUGUUUUUUGUCUUGCUGUAGGGCACAUGUUGGAACGGAAAUAAAGAGUUCAACAGUGGCUAAACAGCCAUAUUUUUCAUCAGUUGUGUGCUCAGCAAUCAAACUUAAGUUAUUUUACUCUCACGGAACCACAAGGCCUGCUGGCUUACAUUGUUUUUGUCUAGUUAAGAGCCAACUUCUGUGGGCAGCCAGUGGUAUCGAAGAGGGAAGGGACCUGGAUUCCUGUGGUUACUGCAGCUACGUCUUAUUUUAUGUGGUCACCUUUUCUACUGUAUUUAAAAAUGUUGUAAAAUCAUUCUGCAUGUCCUUUAAUUUAUUAGUCAAUAAAGCCGCUUUCUCGCAAUGUCAGGUUGCAAUUUUU